CGGCUGAUGGUGUAGAGGUUAAUCGCGCGACCAUGUACGGAGGCUACAGUCCUCGAGGCGGCUGUCCUGGGUUCAAGUCCCGGACCUGGCGA